rnacentral:rRNA from 1 species
GAUGAACGCUGGCGGCGUGCUUAACACAUGCAAGUCGAACGGAAAGGCUCCUGCUUGCCGGGGUACUCGAGUGGCGAACGGGUGAGUAACACGUGGGUGAUCUGCCCUGCACUUCGGGAUAAGCCUGGGAAACUGGGUCUAAUACCGGAUAGGACCACAUUUUGGAUGGUGUGGUGGAAAGUUUUUCGGUGUGGGAUGAGCUCGCGGCCUAUCAGCUUGUUGGUGGGGUAAUGGCCUACCAAGGCGUCGACGGGUAGCCGGCCUGAGAGGGUGUACGGCCACAUUGGGACUGAGAUACGGCCCAGACUCCUACGGGAGGCAGCAGUGGGGAAUAUUGCACAAUGGGCGCAAGCCUGAUGCAGCGACGCCGCGUGGGGGAUGACGGCCUUCGGGUUGUAAACUCCUUUCGCUAGGGACGAAGCGCAAGUGACGGUACCUGGAGAAGAGGCACCGGCUAACUACGUG